UCCACAGUACGCCCUUUUGUGGUAUAUACUUCUUUGCUUGCAAAAGUUCAUUGCAAUGAGUCGUUGGUCUGGUACGAGGCCUCUGGCUUCUGCUACUCUAUCAGUACUAUAACCAAACUGGGACUCUUCAUGGAUGUCCUGAUGUUGCCUUGUGUCAUGGAGAUCCCGUGGUUUUGGAUCUAUAAGAGUGGCUCCUUCAUGCACUCCAGCAGUUCAUCCACGGGGUAGAUGUUGGGGUGUACCAGUUUAAAGCCCUGAUCUCUGCCUGAGAGGUAUCUGAGCUGGUCACCCCACCCGAUCCCCUGCUAUCACACCCUCAGGGAUGGCUCACUAGCAAUGCCCCCAGACCAGAUCCAGCUCUAUCCUGCUGCCCAGAUGAGGUACAGGGCCUGAUCCCCCAAAUGCUGCAGCAGGUGAGGGGCAAGAGCAGCUCUCCCACUCUCAUGACCCCAGCACCAGGUCUCCUGACUGCCAUAGGCAGUGGGAGUGAACAGGGAAGAGGGUAUCUCUCCCUCACCCAUGCCACUACAAGGAAACUGGUGGUAGGACCAGCUCUCACACUUUCGUAUCAUCCUCAGCUGCAACUCCUACAAUGUGCAGGCUACUCUCCUGAGUGCUGCAGCUGGCUAGCAUGGGGGUCAGCUCUUUUGCUCUCAUACCCCCAGGACCAGUUCUCCCAUGAUGCCCAGGUAUCAAAAGUCAAUCUCAGCUAUCAACUGAAGCUGAGUAUGGUAGCCUAUGCCUAUAAAUCCCACGGUCAGAAGGCUGAGGCAGGAGGAUUGUCAAAAGCUCGAGACCAGACUGGACUGCUGUGCAAAGCCAAAAACAAAAAAAAACAAAAAUGAAAAGAUGCUGAUUUGGUGGAGCUCUGUCCGACAGCAGCUUUCCCUUCAAAUAUCUGUUAGACCUUUGGAAAUGUGGCAAAAUCUGGACCUGCAGCCAUGCCUUCUGUGAAUGGCUUUCUCUCUGGCUCAAAGGCCACUUAGCUGUCCUUGUGGCCUUUCCCUGCUGAGUUCCUGAGGGUCUGAGAGAGCAUGCUGUGACAGCAUCCCCUGAAUUGUAGAAGCAGCAUAAAGAACUCUUCUCAUAUGACCUAACCCCACUGCAGCAGCACAUGGACCAUGGACUUCUGUGUGGAAUCGGGUGACAGCACGAAUCGUGAACAUCCACAUGGCCUCUAGUGUCAACACAGACCAAGGACCUCAGCAUGCUCUUCGGUGAUAGCACAGAACAAGGACAUCAACAUCUCCUUGGCCACAGCCCGGACCACAAACACCAUCAUGAUGUGGGCACAGGCCAUGGACACCAACAUGGCCCCUGGCGGUUGAACAGACCAAGGGCAUCCACUUGACUUUUGAUGAUAACAUGGACUACAGACAUCAAGAUGGCCUCCUACAGGAACACAGACCACGGGCAUCCACAUAGUUCUCUGAACUUGAUCAUGGCCUUUGGUGGCAGCACAGGUCAUGGGCAUCAAUGUGGGCUCUCAUGGAAGGUAGCAUGUAGGGGUGGUCUAAGGUGCUAGAUUUAGACUUAUCUUUUCAAAGCAUAGGCAACUUCUCUCUCCAAAGUGCCCUAAAUAUUUAAUCUUUUGGGUAGGUUGACAGUGGCAGCUCCUGCAGGCCAGGCCUUCUCUCUGACAGGCCCAGAGAAAGGACACUUCAGCUUCAACAGCUAGAUUCCCUCAAUGGUGUCUCAGUCUCCUCCCCAAACGUAGCUCUUGUGCAGGCUUGAAAAACAAGCUUAAAAUACUUCUGUGUCUUAAUGUUUCCUUCUCUGGGAGCUCAUAGCUCCUCUGCUGUUCCAGCCACAGGAAAGAAACCUUAUUUAAAGUGUUCUA